GUACUAAUAAGGCAUUCUUUUGGUGUCACUGUAUAUUCAAAUGCUUUGAGGGUAACAUACUUGUAUGUAUGUGCGUGCAUUUCAGGAAUCACUUAGGGGAGUAUUUUGUAUAAAAAAACGGAAUUUGAAGUAUGUGCAUGCAAGGAUAUGGGAACGCACAGCGCAUGACCUUGAAAAUUUGUAUGCAACAACAUACCAUGUAGUAUAUAGUGGAUAUGGGCGUGUUAGUUAUAUAUGUACGGAUGUAUACCAAUAUAUUCCAGCAAUUUAAAGCACCACAUACCUAAAUACAACAGGAUAUUAGACGGUAAACGAGAUUUUGUUGGAACAUGAAACUGCGUCGCAAAAUUAAACGCCAGGCAUUCUGAGCAGAUGUAAUAUAAAAUAGCGGACUGUGCGUUUGAAAUCAUAAAAUGUUGGCGGGCAGAAGCUAUUACAUGCGUACAGCACGAAAACUUUAGACGGGUCAUGGAGAAAGGCGUGAUACUAUAGCUCAAAACAUUGAAAAGUGCGUCGCAAAUAAGAGAAUUUCGGCACUACAUUUAAUUAUGUAUGUGUUUGUUUACGUAUGUACAUAUGUUUUCACCGAUCAAAAGUUGAAAUGAAAAUAAACACGAAUUGUGCGCCAAAUGGAUCGUUGCCAGCAAGAACGCACGCAUAUUUUCUACUCAAACGCCGGCAGUGGCUGUAGGUGUGGAUUGGAUAUAGCAGGCGGAGACUAGACGCCACAAACAUAUUGUUGUUGGUGUGGAUACUAGACAGCUAGCCGAUGAUGUUUUGUCGCUGCUAUUACAUAUUCAAACUAUAUUACUUCACACGUAUACAUAUGUAUAGAUAUGUAUAUAUAUAUAUACUUAUAAAUUUUUAUUGCUGUAACCUUUCGGCCAUCACAGUGCUACCUUUUAAUAUUAUGCUAUGUUGUUAGUAGAUUCUUUGUGACAACAUGUGAUUAUUAUUAUUAUUCUUUUCGUUAUCCGUUUCUACAAAUUUUCUUCAUAUUCUAAGAUAAAGUAGCCAACUGCAAAAUAUACUUAAAAACAAUUUAUUACAUAUUAUAUGCAUACAAAUAAACAUUCAUAUCACACUUGAUUUUGUUGGUGGCUAUGCACUCUGCUCGGCGGUUUGACGCUGUCAACUUUAUCACGUAGGCCACUAAAAAAAAAAAGCAAACAUGUGUAGUCGGAAUAAAAAAAAAAAAAAA